GACGAACGCUGGCGGCGUGCCUAAUACAUGCAAGUUGAGCGCUGAAGGUUGGUACUUGUACCAACUGGAUGAGCAGCGAACGGGUGAGUAACGCGUGGGGAAUCUGCCUUUGAGCGGGGGACCACAUUUGGAAACGAAUGCUAAUACCGCAUAAAAACUUUAAACACAAGUUUUAAGUUUGAAAGAUGCAAUUGCAUCACUCAAAGAUGAUCCCGCGUUGUAUUAGCUAGUUGGUGAGGUAAAGGCUCACCAAGGCGAUGAUACAUAGCCGACCUGAGAGGGUGAGCGGCCAGACUGGGAGGGAGACACGGCACAAUCGCCCUGGGGAGGCGGCAGUAGGGAAUCGUCGGCAAGGGGCGAAAGUCAGAGCGAGAUACGCCGCGGGAGGGAAGAAGGAUGUCGGAUCGUAAAACUCUGUUGGUAGAGAAGAACGUGGUUGAGAGUGGAAAGCUCAUCAAGUGACGGUAACGACUAAGGAAGGGACGGCUAACUACGUG
rnacentral:rRNA from 1 species